rnacentral:rRNA from 1 species
CAGUAGGAGCACGCAGGCAAUUUGUUACUCUGUGUGAACCCCGGCUCACCGGGGAGGGGAUUGGGUCUGGGAAACUUGAGUGCAGAAGGGAAACGGAAUUUCCUGUGUUACGGUGAAAUGCCUAAAAAUAUGGGAGAACACCAGUGGGCAAAGCCACUUUCCGGUCUGUAACUGACCCUGAAGCGCGAAAGCGUGGGGGACAAACAAGAUUACAUACCUGGUAUCCAUGCGUAAACGUGAGUGCUAAGUGUUAGAGGGUUUUCCCCCUUUACUGCUGACCUUCACGCCUUAAACACGCCCCCCUGGUGAG